rnacentral:rRNA from 1 species
UAUCACCUUACCCGGCAGGAUUGAGUAAUCGCCUUAAGUCGCAUUGUGAUGACGAUCGAUGAUUGCAAUCGUUGAUCUUCCGCGAUGACUUCUUAGAGCGCGGGUCAUCAGCUUGUGCCGAUUACAUCCCCGCCCUUUGUACACACC